UACGUAGGGGGCAAGCGUUGUCCGGAAUUAUUGGGCGUAAAGAGCUCGUAGGCGGUCUGUCGCGUCUGCUGUGAAAACUCAGGGCUUAACCCUGAGCUUGCAGUGGGUACGGGCAGACUAGAGUGCGGUAGGGGAGACUGGAAUUCCUGGUGUAGCGGUGAAAUGCGCAGAUAUCAGGAGGAACACCGGUGGCGAAGGCGGGUCUCUGGGCCGUAACUGACGCUG
rnacentral:rRNA from 1 species